rnacentral:rRNA from 1 species
CCUACGGGAGGCUGCAGUAGGGAAUAUUGCUCAAUGGGGGAAACUCUGAAGCAGCAACGCCGCGUGGAGGAUGAAGGUUUUCGGAUUGUAAACUCCUUUUGUUAGAGAAGAUAAUGACGGUAUCUAACGAAUAAGCACCGGCUAACUCCGUGCCAGCAGCCGCGGUAACACGGAGGGUGCAAGCGUUACUCGGAAUCACUGGGCGUAAAGAGCGCGUAGGCGGGAUAGCAAGUCAGAUGUGAAAUCCUAUGGCUUAACCAUAGAACUGCAUUUGAAACUGUUAUUCUAGAGUAUGGGAGAGGUAGGUGGAAUGCUUGGUGUAGGGGUAAAAUCCGUAGAGAUCAAGAGGAAUACUCAUUGCGAAGGCGACCUGCUAGAACAUAACUGACGCUGAUGCGCGAAAGCGUGGGGAGCAAACAGGAUUAGAUACCCGUGUAGUC